rnacentral:tRNA from 1 species
UGGGGUGUAGCUCAGUGGCAGAGCACUUGCCUAGCAUGUGCAAGGCCCUGGGUUCAAUUGCCAGCACCACAA